CUAUCAUCGUAACGAGCAGAUUAUGUUAGAAACCCUGUAACUGUCAUGUUUAUAUAGCAACCAGAGCGUAGUAAACAGUGUUCCGUGUCUGAAAACUGGUGAAAAUGACCGGCACACAUUGAUACUUGCAGUGGGCUUGUAGUGUUGUCUUUCGCUGAGCUAAGAUAUCAAUUGCCAAAUGUUAGCUAAUUAUACUAUCAAGUGAAAUUUAUCCCAGGACCUACUCGAGUGCUACUUCUCUAGGCAACACCAUCGGUGAAGACAGCAUUAACGUCCAACCUCUUUUCAAGUGCCGUGUAUCUACACUUGUAUAGGAAUUUCGAACCGGCAAGUUGGAAUGUGUCUCUCUCACAGCCACUUCGUAAACGAUCAAGAAACAGUUUAUCGUGUACUAUAAAUUAAUACUCUCAAGACUAUUAUAAUAAUUAUUAGCAUGUACACGUACACGUACACGUACAGAUCAUCAACAAUUUCACCCGUUUGCUUA